UCAUAUAUACGUUGACAGCAAAAUAAAAGGGGAAGCCAAAAUUAGAGUGGGAGUCACGGAGAGGGAGAGUCCGAACCAAAGGGAGCCAGAGGAUGAGAAGGAGAGGACAGGGGAAGGGAAGGAAGAGGCGUUGCCGGUGAUGAACACAGCCACCGUCGCCGCUUUCUGACCGCCACACCACCAAACCCUAGCCAUGAGAACCACCAUCUCUGAACCUUUACUGCUCUGUAAAUACCCAGUAUCUACCCCUGAUGCUCUUGACUAUGUUAUGUUUGUUGGAGCUUGUCUCGAUGGAGCCACUGGCGGGGUGUUGCUGCUGCCGGAACCACCGCGGGGUGCUGCUAGGAAUCGCUGCUGCCCUGCUUCCGCUAUACUUAGGUUCAACAUCCAUUGGCCUGGAGCCGCUUCUGCUUUCGAUUCUAUUGAAUUUGAAAUCUUCGCUUCGUUGCAACCAUGAUCACUGUUGUGGGAGCUAACGCCACUGCUAUCUUGAUUGAGACUGUUGCAUAGCUAGUAUUGGUCCAGCCAGCUGCCUCGCUAUAAUCCAGCCUCCGGGUUCUUUUAAUCGCGACAUCGAGUGACACAGGUUUGAAGACGCAAUUUGAAGCUGCGAACGAUUAGUAGAUUUUCUUUAUUGUUUUAAUUGGUCUGGUAGAAUCCCCUCGCUGAUUGUCCCUUGAGAUUUUAUUUCAUAUAGAGGGGUAGGUUUGGUAUAUUGUAUUUGAGUUUUAUUUGGUUUCUUUUGUACAAGAAUUAUUAUCAAUAAUAUUUAUGUGAUUAUUGUUUGUUG